rnacentral:rRNA from 1 species
GACGAACGCUGGCGGCGUGCUUAACACAUGCAAGUCGAACGGAAAGGCCCUGCUUUUGUGGGGUGCUCGAGUGGCGAACGGGUGAGUAACACGUGAGUAACCUGCCCUUGACUUUGGGAUAACUUCAGGAAACUGGGGCUAAUACCGGAUAGGAGCUCCUGCUGCAUGGUGGGGGUUGGAAAGUUUCGGCGGGUGGGGAUGGACUCGCGGCUUAUCAGCUUGUUGGUGGGGUAGUGGCUUACCAAGGCUUUGACGGGUAGCCGGCCUGAGAGGGUGACCGGCCACAUUGGGACUGAGAUACGGCCCAGACUCCUCCGGGAGGCAGCAGUGGGGAAUAUUGAACAAUGGGCGGAAGCCUGAUGCAGCAACGCCGCGUGCGGGAUGACGGCCUUCGGGUUGUAAACCGCUUUCGCCUGUGACGAAGCGUGAGUGACGGUAAUGGGUAAAGAAGCACCGGCUAACUACGUG